CCUUAACCUCAUGUUCUUACUAUGUUACAAAGUGUAAAAACACCAAAUCCAAAGCAAGAGGCAAGGACACGGGUGCAUAACUGGGGAGCAGAGAAAAAGGAGAAGCAGGCGUUGCCAUGAUUUGAUUUCCUGAGAAGAGGGAAAGAUGUGUUGCUCCCCGGGAGUCCCUCAUCUGAGAAGCAUGGCUCUUCCUAACCUAAAACGCCCUCAUGACCUCAUAAGACGCCACUGAACUCAUGCGGGUGGCUGUUUAGUGAUUAAUCAUCCCAGGUGAUGGGGACCCCACACUACUACUAAUGACGAUGAUGACAGAUGACGCUUAUUGGACGUGUCAGGCAUUGUUCUAGGACUUUACCUUUAUUAAUUGAUUAAUCCUCCAACACAACUCUGUGAGGUCUGUGGGGCAGCUGGGGCAGCUCUGCUCUGGGCCACAGAUUGAGUUCGGGUCUACUCUACGUCUCUCCCAUUUUCCUUGGAUCAGCAGCUACCCAGGACAGUUCUUCUUGUGGUAGAGAACAGAAGCACAAGAGGCCAAGGCAAACUACAGAAGCAUGUAUACAGUCUCUGCUCGUGUCCUGUCCACUGACAUUUUAUUGGCCAAAAUAAGUCAUAUGCCAAGUCCAGCAGCAGUGGAUGGGGAAAUAUACUCUGAUCUCUCCAGUGGGAGGCACUGUAGAGCAACCUGGCAAAGACUGGAUGCAUUCCAAGGUGGUAGAGAAGAAUCGGGAUCAUCCAUUCCCAUCACAAACUCCCUCCAUUUUGAUAUUGCCCUUCUCUUUCACAAAAAGGAGAAAAUAACUAUAUAAAAAGGCCAUUUCAAAGAUUUCUGCACAAAUUUUCUAAAAGCUAUUUCCAGAAGUUACCAGAAUUGGUAAGAUUUCAUCCCAUCUCCUCCCUGUAGGUCCAGUUUCAUGGGACUUGUGCAGGAGCACAGGGCCCCACCCUCAGAAAGACCCUGUGCAUGGUUUAACACUCUGCUGUCACCGUCGUGACGUUCUUAAUAAUUUUUGCACAAGGGGCCCAGCGUUUUCAUUUUGCACUGGCCCCCACAAAUUAUGUAGCCAGUCCUGCCUACACAUGCUAUAUUUAUUGUCCCAGAGAUGAGAAUUAAUGCUCAGAAUGGCAACCCUGAGACCUACAGAUUCCAGAAUGACCCAAAAUUCAAUUACAAUUACCAUGUUCUUUCAUUUGUUCAACAUGUUUAUUGGGUGCUGUUAUAAUUCUAGCUUUUAGAGGUAAAACCAUGAACUAACUAGCCCAGAACUCACGGAGUUUACAUCGUGCCAUACUUCCUGUGGUCCACCCACUGGACAGAUGACUUUUAUUUACAGCUACUAAGGGGAAAUCAGAUGAAGAGACUCAUAGCAGAGUGUGCCAGUGAUGACGGAUGUUGGGGCCACAGGCAACCCCAGGAGUCAGCGGAACUCUGUCGAUCCCGAUCUCUUCUCCUCAAGGAAGCAAAUCAGAAUGCAAGUGGCUGUGAUGACAUCAACCACUACAAGGGGAAGAAAAAGAAACAACAGGAAAUUCUGCGUUCAGCUAUUAACUGAUAAAUGAAGGAGGAACUGGCUUUUAAAGUCUUCAACUGAUUGGAUGAGGCCCACCCACACUAUGGAAGCUGAGUCCAGGCCAUGAGAAAUCCAAGAUGAAGGCAGAGAGCUGCUUCUUUGGAUGACCAAAGGGGGUUACCGAAGUGGAGAACAGAAUCUGUGGUGGCGUAUGGAACGGCCGUCAUUCAUUCACCCGACAAUGAUGUAUUGAAGGCUUAGUAUGGCAAGAACUAGGCUAACCAGGCACUGGUGGGUAAAAUAGAGAGAUAAGCAGCCCUCCCAGAGCUUGCUGCCGAGUGAGAAGCAAACAUGAAACAAUCAAUCACGCCCAUAAGUGUAAAACUGCAGUCUCGGUAAGAGAUGCGGCAGCAAGAACACAGAGCUGGACCACCUAUAAGGGAUUUACCUUAAUGGGGAAGGUAGGCAGCUGUUGCUGGAGUUUAGAUCUGAAGGAUACGCUGGGCAAGAGGGAAGGAAGUGUGUUCCUGGCAGAGGGAGCAGCAUAAACACAGGGGCUGCAGUCAGAGAAGGGGGGAGUGUGCAAGACGACUCCAGAAAAAUGAUCAGGCCAUGCAGGGUUUGGGUCUUCAUCCUAAAUGGGUCUUUAGGCUGUUAAAGCCCCUAUUACUUGACAAUUCCACUCUUAGGCAUUUACCCAAGAGAAAUGAAAACUUAUGUCCCCAAAAGACUUAACACGAAUAUUCAUAGCAGCCUUAAAAUAGCCUAAAACUGGAAAUAAUACAAAUGUCCAUCAACAAGAGAAUGGAUAAAUAAAUUACAGUAUAUUCAUACUCAAUUGAAAGGAAUGAACACACAACAACACAGAAUACUCUCAAAAAGAUUAUGCUGAGUAAAAUAGCCAGACAUAAAAACAUCUAUACUGUAUAUUUGUAUGAAAUCCAAAACCAGGCAAAACUAAUCUAUGGCGAUAAAAAUCAGAAAGUGGCUGGUUCUGGGUGUGGGGGCCAGGCAGGGGGUGACAUGACUGGAAAAGGGG
rnacentral:lncRNA from 1 species